UGGACAGAAGUCAGCCAAGGUCUUUAUUCACGUUAAUGAAGAUGGAAGGCACUAACUGUCCUUGGAAAGCGAUGAGUCAAACUUGACCGCUCUUCAAACACGUCCCCAGAUUCGCUUCCAACCUGAACAGAGGCGCGUUUCUCCCACGCGGCCUCCAACAGCUCCCGCAGUGGGAGAGGCAGAACUCGAUUCUGGCCGACCAGAGCGAUGGAAACAACCGCUUCACCCACGGGUGUGCGCGCCGGCGGUCGCUAGGGGACGCCAGCACUCGGCGCGCGUUUGCCAUCUUAAGUUUUGAGCUCCAAGAAAGAAAACUUUGCUGAGAAGCUGUUGUGGAUUACACUCUGCCUGUCCAUAGGACGGACACACACACACACACACACACACACACACACACACACGCGUGAUUUCACAUCAAGCCACUAAGCAAAGUUUAGAAAAGGAAAAGAGCUAUUUUAGGAUUCAAAUGUGAGCCUCCGGCGCAGCAAGGUGCAUUUCUGCAAGUCUAGGGACUGGGCCUUAAUCACACCCUAACACACGCACACUCCCUCCCAAGUUCUGAGACCCCUCCCCCAACACACACACACCCCUCAGCACUACAGUAGGCUUUUCACAUCUGUUACUGAAAAUCUUGGGCCAUACUUUCUAAACAAAUUCCUCGGAGACAGAGAGGGAACCGUUUCCACCUGCUCCUUUCUCUUAGAUUCCUCAAAGGGACGGAGAUUAAACUCGCCUUUGACUUUAAGUCACUGACCUGGAAUUCAGAAGCUUAAAAUCCAGUUCCGGUUAGGUCACUAACUGGCCAUUAACCCUCUCAUUAGGCUUGACUCCUCACCUGUAAAGAACUGUAUGUCCUACAGCCUCCGUGACAUCCCUCCACUAUUGACUUUCCUUGGGGAGAGGCCACAGAAGCGGGGAAGCAGUGUUCUCAAAACGGGGUACUUUUUGGUUCUCUUAGCGGAGGGAUGCCCACGCUGGGCGACUGUGGACGGAGGCUAAUUGUCAUCCAUUUUACCAAAACUCUGGAGGUCAGAUGUCAUUCUUAUUGGAGGUUGCCCUCUCUCAGUCCUAGCACCUCGUUAGGAUACUUAGGGACAGGAAGGUGACUCCGUCGGUCCCCUGCCCAAGGCAUGGGGAACUCAGCCAGGACCUACCACUAGGUGGCGGACUCAGUCCGUCCAAAAUCGUCUUCCACACCCGACUGCCCCCAUCAUUUUUUUUUUUUUUUUUGAUGGGGGGGGCCUCCAUAGGUCAAUACUGGAAAACACUUAAUUUACUGGAUAUAUAUAUAUAUUUUCUUCCCGAUGUCCACGCCUCUAGGAGCCACAACUCAGUAUCUGCAGCUGUGUUCAUGUUUCAUACGUUGAUUUUUCCAGCCUGAAAGGCUGAAUGUAUUGGGAAGAGAAAGGGUGCACUUGUCUUCAAAAAGCAGAAUGGCACUCAACAGUAUUAUCAGAGUUUCCUGCCAAACACUAGUCGACUAGCAAAAAAAAAGUCGGGAGUAAACUUCUGAUUCCCGUGUUGAAAGGGGGCCCUGGAGGCGAAAGGCAGAAGAGUCCAACCCAGGCUUCCAGCGCUCGGCUAAGCUUGGGAUGAGGAAGUGGAGACGAGUUGGUCUUUGGAUGGGUCUGUUGCUCUCAAACUGGGAAGCCGGGAGGGUUGGGAGGAGCUGUUCCUGGCUUCCAGUGGGGCGAAGAGAAACCGACCAGCUUUCCCACAACACAGCACCCUCCCUCGGAUCCCUGUGGCGGCUUUCCCACUUGUUGCGCAGUGCAGGAAACUGGCACGCGCCACACUACUUUUAUUCCCAGAGGGCUCCAAACCCAGCUACAGACCAGCUACCAUUGCCCUAGUCUAUCCAAAAACCUCUCUCCUCAACCCUCCCCUCACAGACACCACCAUCACUGCCAGCAAAACUACAAGAUGUCCAGUCAGUACGGUUUCUUACAUCAAAACAUUCUUCCCUAUCUCAGAAUCACACAGGCAGCUGAAUGCAGAUGACCGGAGGAGAAGGAAAGUCCUUGAGGGAAAGGGGGCUAACCUCCGCCUGGAAAACUCGCCUACUUAAACCAUACAAGGCAACCUUCCUCGUGUGUGUGUGUGGUUGUGUACUAGUUUUCCAUAGGGUAGCUUUUAAAACUCAUUAUUGCAACACUAGUUCCAUUUUUGGCUAGAGUUCCAAUAACACGGCAUCAUAAAGGCAACGCAAUCCACAUUCUCAAGACAUUUACCACGGUCACUACAUCCGGCAGCGGGGUGGCCCAGCGCUCCCGCAGCUCCCUAGCGCAGCCUUCCGAGGCUCCAACUCCCUACCCGCUCCCGCCCCGGGCCGCCGCCGCCGCCGCCGCCGCCGCCUUCCCCCAUUCUUACUCCCUCGAGGAGAGCCACAGGUUGCAAAUCCAACCAACCUCACAAUCCGUUUUUUUUUUGCAAAAUCACUCACAAAGAUCUCCCAUUCGCGCCCGCGCCCCCUCCUUCCGCGCCGGAUUCCCCCAGCCAGGGCCACAAAGUGCCCUUCUCUCCUCCCGGGUCCUGCACGUAGGAACACGGGCUGGGGCAGUUUGUUUUUUCCCUUGCCCAGUGCAAGGACCUCGACAAUCUGAAGCCUGACGCCGGCUACUUUCUGACCCGCAGCUUUUUGUUUGUUUGUUUGUACAAAGCUUGCACCAUGGGAAAAAUAAAAUUUAGGAAAGCGAGGGAACAGCCAUUGGGAGCUAACACCGAGUCACGCAGAGCCCAAAAUACAAACACCGCGACCGCCAGAAAUCCCGCCACCUUCCCGCUGGGCUGGGCGGGCCUGUGAAGAUUCCCGGAGUCCCCGCACGCAGAACAGCACCGCAGGUGCAAAAGCGCAUCCUUUUCCGCCCACCCCCAAAAUCCCCAUCCCGCCACAAGUCUCGCUCCCCAGGAUGGGGAGAGAGAGCGCGCGGGGGUUCCCGACUCCCUAGACUACAACCAAGAAAGAAUAAUUUUCAAAGUAUUCAACAUCCCCGCCCCCAGGCAAGCUAAACCUCCCCCAAAAACACAGGGAAGGGGACACCAAAACAUUCAGAUCUCAUUAGGAAGACCACGGCUCUGAAAGGAAAUAGUAGAACCAAUACUUCAUCUGGGUUUAAGGGGGAGGGGGGGAAGCCCAAGGAGUUCGCUUGCAUUUUUCCUCCCAAAUCUCGGCUCGGAGAUAGGGAAUCUAGAGGACCGAGGCCGAUGGAAGGGAGCCAGCGGGGCGAGCGAGCGGGCAGCCUCCCUCCUCGCCUCCCAGAGUUACCAAGAAGGACGGGAGAGGGGAAGGAAGGAGAGGUGAGGGAAAGGAGGAGGGAGGGAGGGAGGGAAGGGGAGGCUAGAGCGAGGGAGCAAGAAAGGCAGUUCGCAAGCGAGAAAAGAGGGAAAAAACACAGCCGCACGAAUCCAGCAAGAUCAAAAGCCGUACGCAAGCAGCAGCAGAAAGAGCGAGAGCGCGAGAGCGCGUCCUCUCCGCGGUCUGGGGCCAGACAGCCCCCAGACUUGCCCGAAUCACCCCCUAAGCACUGUCUCGUCCUCUCUGCUUCGGCCGCCCCCUAAUUCCCCUCCUUCCUCUCCUCCACCUCCUCUUCAAAAACCAAAACAACACAAGGGAGGGUGGCAAAAGCCUCCCCAAACCGGCCGAUUCACUCAAAGACAACAAGAAAAAAAUAAUAAAUAUAUAAAAAUCUAUAUCCUAGAGUGGGAGAGACGUGGGACUAAUCUUCGGCAUUUAUUUUAACACCUGACAGCUACAAUAAAUAAAUAUAUACAUAUACAUCAAUAGAUGCACACAGGAAACUUGGAGCCAAAGCAUUUGGCAAGAGCGGAAAAAAAAGAAUUAAAAGGUAAAAUAAUGAUC
rnacentral:lncRNA from 1 species